rnacentral:rRNA from 1 species
UGGGUAGUCCGCACGAGCGCACCUCAUCUUCAGUUGCCAUCGGUUCGGCCGGGCACUCUGGAGAAACUGCCGGUGAUAAGCCGGAGGAAGGUGGGGAUGACGUCAAGUCCUCAUGGCCCUUAUGGGCUGGGCUACACACGUGCUACAAUGGCGGUGACAGCGGGAUGCGAAGGGGCAACUCCUAGCCAAUCCCUAAAAACCGUCUCAGUUCGGAUUGUUCUCUGCAACUCGAGAGCAUGAAGUCGGAAUCGCUAGUAAUCGCGGAUCAGCAUGCCGCGGUGAAUACGUUCCCGGGCCUUGUACACACCGCCCGUCACACCAUGGGAGUUGGUUUUACCCGAAGGCGGUGCGCCAACCGUAAGGAGGCAACCGACCACGGUAAGGUCAGCGACUGGGGUGAAGUCGUAACAAGGUAGCCGUAGGGGAACCUGCGGCUGGAUCACCUCCUUUC